rnacentral:rRNA from 1 species
UACGAAGGGGGCUAGCGUUGCUCGGAAUCACUGGGCGGAAAGCGCACGUAGGCGGAUCUUUAAGUCAGGGGUGAAAUCCUGGAGCUCAACUCCAGAACUGCCUUUGAUACUGGGGAUCUCGAGUCCGGAAGAGGUGAGUGGAACUCCGAGUGUAGAGGUGAAAUUCGUAGAUAUUCGGAAGAACACCAGUGGCGAAGGCGGCUCACUGGUCCGGUACUGACGCUGAGGUGCGAAAGCGUGGGGAGCAAACAGG